AGGGAACGCUGGCGGCAGGCCUAACACAUGCAAGUCGAACGAAGUCUUCGGACUUAGUGGCGGACGGGUGAGUAUCACGUGGGAACGUGCCUUUAGGUUCGGAAUAACUCAGGGAAACUUGUGCUAAUACCGAAUGUGCCCUUCGGGGGAAAGAUUUAUCGCCUUUAGAGCGGCCCGCGUCUGAUUAGCUAGUUGGUGAGGUAAAGGCUCACCAAGGCGACGAUCAGUAGCUGGUCUGAGAGGAUGAUCAGCCACAUUGGGACUGAGACACGGCCCAAACUCCUACGGGAGGCAGCAGUGGGGAAGCUUGCGCAAUGGGCGAAAGCCUGACGCAGCCAUGCCGCGUGAAUGAUGAAGGUCUUAGGAUUGUAAAAUUCUUUCACCGGGGACGAUAAUGACGGUACCCGGAGAAGAAGCCCCGGCUAACUUCGUGCCAGCCGCCGCGGUAAUAC
rnacentral:rRNA from 1 species